CUGGAAGCGGAAAGUCCGUCAGCAGAACAGACGGUGAAUCGUUGGGGGGAAAAAACAAAAGUUCUCAAGACUCAGACUUCUUUUUUCUCAACGCAGCUAGAUGCCUCCACACCAGUGAUGACUCCGUUAACCUCAGCUCCCGACGAACAAGGCCAUAAAAGGAGUGCAAAUUAACUAAUUUGAGUCUGGGUUCCACCGGCCCCUUGCUAUAAAUGGGACCUCAGUGGAGAGAGCGGACAGUUUCCGGUACCUAGGUGUUCACAUCACGCAGGUCCUGUCACGGUCCUGUCACGGUCCUGUCACGGUCCUGUCACGGUCCUGUCACGGUCCUGUCACGGUCCUGUCACAUCAACACCCUGGUGAAGAAGGCCUGACAGCAUCUUUACCAUCUCCGAUGCCUAAAUUGAGAGCAUCCUGAAGGGAAGCAUCACAGCCUGGUUUGGAAACAGCACCAAGCAGGACGGGCAACCUCUCCAGAGGUUGAUGCGAAGGCUGAAAACCAUGAAGCAUGAGCUGAAGGCAAACACAGACAGAAUGAGGAGGAGCUUUUUCUGCACAGGGCAUUUGGACCCUUAACCAGAACACCUAGUACCUGGACUUUCUGGACUUCUCUGGACUUGAUCUCACACAUGACAUUCUACCUCAGCUGAUUGUCACACACACAAUAACUGCACUACUCUGCACAGUUCACACUCACUGAGCAUCUUUCUAUGUGCAUACUGCACCCUCACUUUACCCCCUUGAUAUUCCUGUUAUAACUGAUAUACCUGUUAUUUCCCUUUUUAUAUCUAUAUAUUUAUCUUACAUCUAUGUACAUAUUGUAUUUUUCUUAU